AGGAUUUCAAAUUACCACCAGUAACAGCACAACUCUGUGAUUACCUUACUCUAAAGAAUGUCCAUCUUCUGUUUAGAUAUCAGUGAAUCAGCCUCCCGGAGAACUUAAAAAGUAGUUAAUUAUAUCUUUGGACAGGUUUUUGGUGAAUCCCUAUUUUUAUCCAGUUUGAGCGACAUACCAAUAGUCUGACUCCCUCAUCCCUGUGUGAUGCAAUAGGCACACCAGAUUUCUUUAAUUCCACAGUUAAUUAUAGGAGUCUGAUAUCCAUAUAUAUGUUUGCAUUUGGAAGUUUUGCGACAAACAUAGCUUUUUACUAUUAAUAUACAUAUGUACAUAAAUACAGCAGAUACCAGUAGUAUGCCCAGGUUAAUAUACAUUUAUCAAU